GAAGGCCUCAGAUGGAGACUUUGGAAGGGCUGAGGAGGAGCAGAUAUGGUUAACUGCUUUAUUUUUAAAAAAGUUCUGAAGAGCUGAAGACUGCUGGUGUAGUCCUUAGGAGCCCAAAAGUAUAUCACUUUUAUGGCACAAAGGUUCAUCUUUCUACUACAGUUAAUCAGUCCACUUAGGGUUUAAAACAAGAGCACUGAACAAGAUGCCACGAGGGCCAGGUACAUUUAUUAGAGACUUACUGAAGUCCAAAAACCUCGCAAGAAGAUGAACUUGGUAUUUCCAUGAGUAACCUUUUAAUCUUUGCCUGUGGAGGGGUCAAGAUGCACA